CCAAUAGCGUAUAUUAAAGUUGUUGCAGUUAAAAAGCUCGUAGUUGAAUUUCGAGAUCGGUUUAUUGGUCGUGCUAUUGUACGUACUGGUAUCACCGGUUUCUCCUUUCUGACGAACCUUAAUGCCAUUAAUUUGGUGUUUUGGGAAAUCAGGACUGUUACUUUGAAAAAAUUAGAGUGUUUAAAGCAGGCUCACGCUUGAAUACAUUAGCAUGGAAUAACGGAAUAGGACGUUUGAUUCUAUUUUGUUGGUUUCUAGGAUCGACGUAAUGAUUAAUAGGGAUAGUUGGGGGCAUUAGUAUUCAAUUGUCAGAGGUGAAAUUCUUGGAUUUAUUGAAGACUAACUACUGCGAAAGCAUUUGCCAAGGAUGUUUUCAUUAAUCAAGAACGAAAGUUAGGGGAUCGAAGACGAUCAGAUACCGUCGUAGUCUUAACCAUAAACUAUGCCGACUAGGGAUCGGAUGAUGUUAAUUUUUUAAUGACUCAUUCGGCGCCUUACG
rnacentral:rRNA from 1 species